rnacentral:lncRNA from 1 species
AAAGGCCCUAUCUGCCUUGCGUGGUCAUGCAGGACCUAUCCCUUUCCUUCCUCAUGUAUUUUGUCUGAACUUAAAGUAGCAUUUUAUUGAGUCACUUUUGAAGGAUGAAUUCAGAAGUAUCAUGAAGAACCUACCUGUUCAGGCUUAAUAGCCAGAGUCCUAUAGAGUUCUUAUAGAAACAGAAUAACUGAAACUCAGCAUAUACUAUGCUUAGAAAGUAUUGCAUUUUGUUUUGGGUUUUCCUUUUACAUGUGGAUGUUAUUGUAGGAAUAUAGUUUUUAUCCUGUGCCGAUUCAAAAUAGAGUGUUGUAAGUUUCCCCAGGCCCCUAUCUGCCAAAAAGAAACAUGCCCAGAUUUUGUAAGAUGUGUACCCCCUGCUUGUACAUGUACUGUGUACAUGCACUGGGAAAUCUACCUAAGAGUCUUCACUGAGAAGCUAACCUUGAUAGACCGGUGUUGAUGGAGGAGAGAAAAACAAUGGUUUGGAGGCAAAUACUGCUCUAACCUGGUGGUCCCACCCAUUCCUGAACCAAUGAAAGUGGGAGA